rfam:Ipomoea nil DNA, scaffold: scaffold3056, cultivar: Tokyo-kokei standard.
GCCCGUCUAUCUCAGUAGGUAGAGCGCAAGGCUCUUAACCUUGUGGGUUUAAGCCCCAGGGUGGGCG